GUCAAGUAUGGGGGAAGAUAAGGCAGCCAGAUGGACCAGCCCCGGAAUCCUGCCUCACACGUACCAAACGUGGGACUCUAGGAGGCCUGGGAGCAGCUGCGACCUGAGCCCCUGACAGUGGGUCAGAGGGACUGACCUAGCCUUCAUGAAGGUCAUCUGGAGAUCUCUAGGGCUCCUAAGAGUGGUUUGCCUAAGUUUACACACCUCGUAAGAAGAAGAAAGGGAGGGCUCGAACCUAGACCUUCUGACUCCGAAUCGAGCUCACUAGACCACAGCUGGAAUUGAUUUCAGAUGAGGAAACUAAGGUCCAGAGAAGAGAAGUGACUUGUCCAAGGUCAUACAGGUUCAAAGUCACAGACCCUAUAAUUCCAAGGUCACCGCUUUUUCUGUGGUACCCGCUUCCUCCAAAAUCAUUGAUUUCCAAAAGCCAUGUGUUGAAUCGAGUUCUCAGGUUUCAUCUUAGUGGAACCUACCCCUGCCAACCUAGAUUGCAACUCCUCUGUCCCUUGGAAGAAUAGGUUUUGGUAAUCUGCUGUGACUCAAAACAAUCUCAUUUCACGGCCAGCUCAGAGGAGUGUCUCUAGACUAUGUGGCUGGUCUUGGAUGACAGAUGGACUGUCUGCCACAGCUGGACCCAUCAGAACUUGUGUUCUGCUGGUCUCACCUUCAGGAAGCCACAGUGACCUCUGGUGACCUCAGUGGCCC